GAUGAACGCUAGCGAUAGGCCUAACACAUGCAAGUCGAGGGGCAUCACAUGAAGUAGCAAUACGGAUGGUGGCGACCGGCGCACGGGUGAGUAACACGUAUGCAACCUGCCUUCAACAAGGGGAUAACCCGUUGAAAGACGGACUAAUACCCUAUAACACAGGGGUCCCGCAUGGGAAUAUUUGUUAAAGGACAACCGGUUGAAGAUGGGCAUGCGUUCCAUUAGCUAGUUGGCGGGGUAACGGCCCACCAAGGCAACGAUGGAUAGGGGAACUGAGAGGUUUAUCCCCCACACUGGUACUGAGACACGGACCAGACUCCUACGGGAGGCAGCAGUGAGGAAUAUUGGUCAAUGGACGCAAGUCUGAACCAGCCACGUCGCGUGAAGGAAGACGGCCCUACGGGUUGUAAACUUCUUUUAUACGGGAAUAAAGUGCCCCACGCGUGGGGUUUUGCAUGUACCGUAUGAAUAGGAUCGGCUA
rnacentral:rRNA from 1 species